rnacentral:rRNA from 1 species
UACGGGGGGAGCAAGCGUUGUUCGGAUUUACUGGGCGUAAAGGGCGCGUAGGCGGUCAGCACAAGUCAGUUGUGAAAUCUCCGGGCUUAACCCGGAACGGUCAACUGAUACUGUGCGACUAGAGUGCGGAAGGGGCAACUGGAAUUCUCGGUGUAGCGGUGAAAUGCGUAGAUAUCGAGAGGAACACCUGCGGCGAAGGCGGGUUGCUGGGCCGACACUGACGCUGAUGCGCGAAAGCGUGGGGAGCAAACAGG